AUCCUCCAGAUCCGAUACUCAUCAUAUCUGAACAUUAAUCUGAGUGGCUAUAAAAGGAGAAAAAGUAAAACUGAAUAUGACUUGGAUUCUUUUGGGAGAUACGGGGGUCCCCAAUACUCAAACAGGU
rnacentral:snoRNA from 1 species